UGGGGAAUGGUGUAACGGUAACACAGCAGACUCUGACUCUGCCUUUUGGGGUUCGAAUCCCUAUUCCCCAGCCA
rnacentral:tRNA from 1 species